GCAAGUCGAGCGGAAACGAUGGGAGCUUGCUCCCAGGCGUCGAGCGGCGGACGGGUGAGUAACGCGUAGGAAUCUACCCAGUAGAGGGGGAUAGCCCGAGGAAACUCGGAUUAAUACCGCAUACGCCUCAAGGGGGAAAGGCCGGGAUCUUCGGACCGGUCACUAUUGGAUGAGCCUGCGUGAGAUUAGCUUGUUGGUGGGGUAAUGGCCUACCAAGCCUACGAUCUAUAGCUGGUUUGAGAGGAUGAUC
rnacentral:rRNA from 1 species